UGGGGAAUAUUGCACAAUGGAGGAAACUCUGAUGCAGCAACGCCGCGUGAGUGAAGAAGGUCUUCGGAUUGUAAAGCUCUGUUAAUCGGGACGAAAUAUGACGGUACCGAUAGAGGAAGCCACGGCUAACUACGUGCCAGCAGCCGCGGUAAUACGUAGGUGGCGAGCGUUGUCCGGAAUUACUGGGCGUAAAGGAUGCGUAGGUGGAUAAUUAAGUCAGAUGUGAAAAUCCCGGGCUCAACUUGGGAACUGCAUUUGAAACUGGAUAUCUAGAGUGCAGGAGAGGAAAGCGGAAUUCCUAGUGUAGCGGUGAAAUGCGUAGAUAUUAGGAAGAACACCAGUGGCGAAGGCGGCUUUCUGGACUGUAACUGACACUGAGGCGUGAAAGCGUGGGGAGCAAACA
rnacentral:rRNA from 1 species